rnacentral:rRNA from 1 species
GGGAGUGAAAUAGAACCUGAAACCCUGCACUUACAAGCUGUGGAAGCACAUUUCUUGUGUGACCGCGUACUUUUUGUAGAACGGGCCAACGAGUUACGUUAAGUAGCAAGGUUAAGCACUUAAGGUGCGGAGCCGUAGCGAAAGCGAGUUUUAACUGAGCGUUCAGUUACUUGACGUAGACCCGAAACCGGGCGACCUACCCA